rfam:Mus musculus chromosome 16, GRC primary reference assembly.
GCCCAGCUAGCUUAGUUGGUAGAGCAUGAGACUCUUAAUCUCAGAGUCAUGGGUUCAGGCCUCAUGUUUGGCA